rnacentral:sRNA from 1 species
UAACGCGCUGAAUCUUUAUGAACGGGAAACCAGAUCAUGAUGAUGUUUUGUCAUUGAGAUGAAUCCAUCUUUUUUGGAAGGGCGACUCUUACCGCCCGAAUCCGACAGCUAACCUCGUAAGCGUUGUUGAGAGAG